GCCCUGGUGGUCUAGUGGUAUGAUUCUCGCUUAGGGCUAACCCUAGCAUCAUAAUUGCGAGAGGUCCCGCGUUCGAUCCGCGGCUAGGGCC
rnacentral:tRNA from 1 species